UAAGGAAUAUUGGUCAAUGGACGCAAGUCUGAACCAGCCAUGCCGCGUGCAGGAUGACGGCCCUAUGGGUUGUAAACUGCUUUUGUACGGAAAAAAACCCCCCGACGUGUCGGGGGCUGAUGGUACCGUAAGAAUAAGGAUCGGCUAACUCCGUGCCAGCAGCCGCGGUAAUACGGAGGAUCCUAGCGUUAUCCGGAUUUAUUGGGUUUAAAGGGUGCGCAGGCGGAAUAGUAAGUCAGUGGUGAAAUCCUGCAGCUUAACUGCAGAACUGCCAUUGAUACUGUUAUUCUUGAGUAUAUUUGAAGUGGGCGGAAUGUGUCAUGUAGCGGUGAAAUGCUUAGAUAUGACACAGAACACCAAUUGCGAAGGCAGCUCACUAAACUAUAACUGACGCUCAUGCACGAAAGCGUGGGGAUCAAACAGG
rnacentral:rRNA from 1 species